rnacentral:lncRNA from 1 species
UGCUGUGUUGUGUUAGUUUGUGUUGUGUUGUGUUAGUUUGUGUUGUGUUGUGUUAGUUUGUGUUGUGUUAGUUUGUGUUGUGUUAGUUUGUGUUGUGUUAGUUUGUGUUGUGUUAGUUUGUGUUGUGUUAGUUUGUGUUGUGUUAGUUUGAGUUGUGUUAGUUUGAGUUGUGUUGUGUUAGUUUGUGUUGUGUUGUGUUAGUUUGUUUUGUGUUGUGUUAGUUUGUGUUGUGUUGUGUUAGUUUGUGUUGUGUUGUGUUAGUUUGUGUUGUGUUAGUUUGUGUUGUGUUGUGUUAGUUUGUGUUGUGUUAGUUUGUGCUGUGUUAGUUUGUGCUGUGUUAGUUUGUGCUGUGUUAGUUUGUGUUGUGUUGUGUUAGUUUGUGUUGUGUUAGUUUGUGUUGUGUUAGUUUGUGUUGUGUUAGUUUGUGCUGUGUUAGUUUGUGUUGUGUUGUGUUAGUUUGUGCUGUGUUAGUUUGUGUUGUGUUAGUUUGUGUUGUGUUAGUUUGUGCUGUGUUAGUUUGUGCUGUGUUAGUUUGUGUUGUGUUAGGUUG